AUUGAACGCUGGCGGAAUGCUUUACACAUGCAAGUCGAACGGCAGCACGGGGCAACCUGGUGGCGAGUGGCGAACGGGUGAGUAAUACAUCGGAACGUGCCCAAUCGUGGGGGAUAACGUAGCGAAAGUUACGCUAAUACCGCAUGCGAUCUACGGAUGAAAGCGGGGGAUCGCAAGACCUCGCGCGAGUGGAGCGGCCGAUGUCAGAUUAGGUAGUUGGUGGGGUAAAGGCUCACCAAGCCAACGAUCUGUAGCUGGUCUGAGAGGACGACCAGCCACACUGGAACUGAGACACGGCCCAGACUCCUACGGGAGGCAGCAGUGGGGAAUAUUGCACAAUGGGCGAAAGCCUGAUGCAGCGACGCCGCGUGAGGGAUGAAGGCCUUCGGGUUGGUUAAACCGUACUUUCUAGCAGGGAAGAAGCGAAGUAGACGGUACCGUGCAGAAGAAGACACC
rnacentral:rRNA from 1 species